UGCCUUUUCGUAUAACGGUAAUACGUCAGACUUUGGCUCUGAAUAUACAGGUUCGAUUCCUGUAGAGGCAA
rnacentral:tRNA from 1 species